rnacentral:rRNA from 1 species
AGUGAACGCUGGCGGUAAGCCUAACACAUGCAAGUCGAACGGCAGCACAGGAGAGCUUGCUCUCUGGGUGGCGAGUGGCGGACGGGUGAGGAAUACAUCGGAAUCUACUCUGUCGUGGGGGAUAACGUAGGGAAACUUACGCUAAUACCGCAUACGACCUACGGGUGAAAGCAGGGGACCUUCGGGCCUUGCGCGAUUGAAUGAGCCGAUGUCGGAUUAGCUAGUUGGCGGGGUAAAGGCCCACAAAGGCGACGAUCCGUAGCUGGUCUGAGAGGGUGAUCAGCCACACUGGAACUGCGACACGGUCCAGACUCCUACGGGAGGCAGCAGUGGGGAAUAUUGGACAAUGGGCGCAAGCCUGAUCCAGCCAUACCGCGUGGGUGAAGAAGGCCUUCGGGUUGUAAAGCCCUUUUGUUGGGAAAGAAAUCCAGCUGGCUAAUACCCGGUUGGGAUGACGGUACCCAAAGAAUAAGCACCGGCUAACUUCGUGCCAGCCGCCGCCGUAA